GUGCCUCGGUUCAUUGGACAGCUUUAGAAGGCAAAGGUGUUGUCUGGAUCUGUGGACUUCUGAUUUUUCGGUCGCAUUUGGGGCGAGAGAAAAUAAUUUAUGGACAGCUUUGCAUUCAGUCUAUGUUGUGUGUUCAUUACCAUUUGUUCUUUCUUCAUCCUCUCGAGAUUUUGUGUUGUUGCUUAGGGUUAAUUACCCAAAGGCUUCAUAAACAAGCUAGGACCAUGUCCUAAGUUCGAAUUCAUAUGUGUUGUACUAUUGUUAUAGAAAAGCUAAUGGACCUAUGAAGAUUGAAGAGUCACUGCAUUUUCUGUUUUCUUGCAUGUCUAAGAAGUUAUACAGCUGUGAAUAUAUUGUUUCUUUUCUUUCAUACCACAGCUAUGACUCAUUUCUCGUAAAAAGGAGGGUCUCCGAUUCUUGGUUCUGCCAUAAUAAUUUUAUUCCCAUAUGAUCACUCGCUUGCUAGAUUAUUAAUUUUAGAUAAUGUCUCGCUUGCAUCGUUAUGGUGUUGUCUUGUUGAACUUCAAAGAAUCAAGCACAUUAUAGCACCCAAAAUAAAUAAAUAAAUAAUCAAGCACAUCUACUUUCCCCCGUUGAACUAAUUUGGGCUCACUUAACCCUAAGUCAGCCACACCUAGCCCUUAUCUGAUUUUUGGAAGGGCAGGAUUAACCAAAAGAAUCUGCAAAAUUCCAUACGCUUUGCUGUUAUAAAGUGUAUACCAGUACAAUUUUAGUUUAGAAAUAAGAAAGAUCACAAUUGUGAAAGAAAAAACAUAUUUUUUUUAAUAUUGCACAGGUCACAAAUUUUUAUAUUUUCAAAUCAACAUUAAUAUGCACCAUUUUUUUGAACUAACAUUCAAUAUGCAUCCUUAAUUGCACGUAGCACAAUCGUUUUUUCAGAAUUUUGUAAAAUGUAUAAUUUUGCUUUUCAAUAAGCAGGGGAGGGACACUAAAAAAGCGAAGAAAAGAUCAGAUCGAUGUAAUUUAGAUUUAAAAAGGUUUUAGAAGAAAACAAUGAACUUUAUGUAUUAAUUUGAUUUAUACAAAAAGAGUUUGGAAAGGGGCAACACACCAGUCACACACCACACCUCCAGAAAAGGAGACAUAGAAGAGGAAGAAGAAAAAUAGGAGAAAAAAUAAAAAAUGGCAUCUUCUACCUCAUCCUCUGCCUUUCUCCUCCUCCAUGGCCUCGCUUCUGCUUCUCCCUCGAAGGCUUCUGCUUUCUUCGCUUCCCCCAUCAGCCCCUCCUUCCCACUCUCGACCUCCACCUCCAUCAACGCGUCCUCUCCGCGGCGGCCCUUGCCCCCUGCUCCUCGCGCCACCGGCCGCGGCGGUGACAAGGACAACCGCGUGCAGGAGCUGAGGGUGCCUGAUUCCUGGCUCACGCCCGGAGGAGCAGCGCAGGUUCGCAUCCAUGAUUCCACCUCCGUCAUCUCCAUCCCGUUCAUUUAAUCUUGUAGCGGCACCUCCUGGAGUAGCUCGAAAGUUUUAUGUACGUAGCUCCUGAACUUAAAAUCCCUGUUAUGGUCUUAUGGAGGAGCUCGAAAGUUGUUAUGCAGUGAUCUAAACGCUUUUAUAUUUUCAAUACAAAGGGAGUACUUCACAAAGCUACUCCCUCCGUUUCAAAAUAGAUGACCUAACUUUGUACUAACUUUAGGGAGUAGAUUAUUUCUCCUGCUCCUGUUUCUGGACUGUCAUUAGCUCAAGUUUAUUUACACGCCAUUUGUACAGUCAUUGAACAAGGCCACCUCCAUCUUUCCACCUCUUACCAGGAAUCCGAAUGGCUGAGGGGAACGCUACACAAGUGGCUGGACGACGAGUACUGCCCCGAGCCGGCCAACGUGGACAUCAGCAACACGGCCGCAAGGUCGUACCACGAGUCCCUCACGGCGAAGCAGUCUGAUGUGGGGGAGAUCCUGAUGAAGAUGGUCGGAGAUCUGCAGGAGCUGUCGUACCAGGAGAGCUUCCACGGGGCCUUCUCCGCCGCCAACGCCGCGGUGCGCUUGAUAACGCAGAGGAUGGAGUCGUCAGCCGGUGAGUGAUCGUUGACAGACAGAGCUAGCCGAACCGGCAAUGGGUGGCUCAAGUUGUCUGGCUGCCCCGACCAUCAUUGUGUUUAGUGGUCGAACGGGAAGGCAAUCUGCUUUGUUUCACUGCAGAUUAGCUUUGUGAAUUACCUGGCGUUGGCAAGUGGUCUGUUCAAUUUGAAUCAAAGUGACAUACCGUGUCCUGCUCGACCGAUGUUAAUAGUACGUUCUUCUAUGUCGCAUGUUGUUAAUUCUGAGCAAACGAACCAACUUGUGGUUGGAUGAUGGUUAGAGGGACAAUGGUAUUCCCAGCCUAUCAGAAUUCAAGUUCUGGUGCUCGCAUUAUUCUUGAAUUUGUUUUAGGAUUUUCCGCGCUGUGCUUUCAGUGGAAGGAGACGUUCCUCUCGACGACGAGGCGCUCACGGGGCGCUCACGGUGACUUCAUAAUUCUCAAGAUGAUAUGAUAGUUCAGUCUCUUGAAGGUGCUCACAGAGAUAGGGUAUGUGUUCAUAGGAUGAGUGUAUGCGUUUAUGUCUGUACGUGUUUAAAAAAA
rnacentral:lncRNA from 1 species